rnacentral:sRNA from 1 species
AAAAAAGGAAAAAAAAAAAUGAAAAU